UGAGACCUCAGCUAUAGUACUGGCCGUCCAGCUCUGGAGCGCUCAGCACAAGAAGGACAUGGAAGUGUUGGAGCGGGUCCCGAGGAAGGCAACAAAACUAAUCCGAGGGUUGGAGCCC